AGGACGAACGCUGGCGGCGUGCUUAACACAUGCAAGUCGAGCGGUAAGGCCUUUCGGGGUACACGAGCGGCGAACGGGUGAGUAACACGUGGGUGAUCUGCCCUGCACUUCGGGAUAAGCCUGGGAAACUGGGUCUAAUACCGGAUAUGACCUCAGGUUGCAUGACUUGGGGUGGAAAGAUUUAUCGGUGCAGGAUGGGCCCGCGGCCUAUCAGCUUGUUGGUGGGGUAAUGGCCUACCAAGGCGACGACGGGUAGCCGACCUGAGAGGGUGACCGGCCACGACUGGGACUGAGACACGGCCCAGACUCCUACGGGAGGCAGCAGUGGGGAAUAUUGCACAAUGGGCGAAAGCCUGAUGCAGCGACGCCGCGUGAGGAUGACGGCCUGGGUUGUAACCUCUUUCAGCAGGACGAAGCGCAAGUGACGGUACCUGACAGAAGAAGCACCGGCUAACACGUGCCAGCAGCCGC
rnacentral:rRNA from 1 species